UGCCAGCCGCCGCGGUAAUACGGAGGGUGCAAGCGUUGUCCGGAUUUAUUGGGUUUAAAGGGUGCGUAGGCGGUACUAUAAGUCAGUGGUGAAAUACUGCAGCUCAACUGUAGAGGUGCCAUUGAAACUGUAAUACUUGAGUACAGACGAGGUAGGCGGAAUUUAUGGUGUAGCGGUGAAAUGCAUAGAUACCAUAAAGAACACCGAUAGCGAAGGCAGCUUACUAGACUGUAACUGACGCUGAGGCACGAAAGCGUGGGUAGCGAACAGGAUUAGAUA
rnacentral:rRNA from 1 species